GGAGAGGUGGCCGAGCGGUCGAAGGCGGGGGCUUGCUAAGCCUUUUCCCAGCCAAAAGCUGGGACGAGGGUUCAAAUCCCUCCCUCUCCG
rnacentral:tRNA from 1 species